rnacentral:lncRNA from 1 species
CUCUGGAGGAGCGCCGAGCUGCUGAGCCUAGCCGAUCCGAGCAACAGAGACGAAGUACCGUGGCCAAAGACGACGAUCUGGAAAAACUUGUAACCUUGCAGCCUUGUCAUUGUCAUCCGGCAGUCAGGCACGUAGGCAGUCAGGGACUGCGACGGAGACGUCGACUGCCCGAAGAGAGCCUCACUAACCUGAAGCCAGUGUGCCCGAGUCCCCGAGUCAGAACUGGACACAGAGUCCACAACCGACGAACCACCGAGGCCACGCGGAUCGUGCAAAUCUUGUUGGCAUUUUUCAGCCAUUUCCUUUUUACAUACAAGCAACCCACCACCAGUCCCCCAGCCAUGCGCCUGCUGCAGCAUCUAACUCGGGCUAGAGACACGGAGAGAAGAAAGGAAAAAAGAAGAGAAAUAUGUUUAAAAGAGAAACAAAAAAUUAUGUUCGAUAUCAAUUUCGCGUGGACACAUGCCAAGAGACACGCAACGCCACCAAACACGCGCACCACAUUUUUACCCCUACCACCCCCUGGCACCAUUCGGCACUCCAAUAACUGAUCCAAAAUCCAAAAACCCGGUGCGGUGUGUGCCUCUACUGCCCUCUAUUGACUCGUGUGAAGCGGGAGAGUGGAGAGGUGGAGGUGGAGAGGCUGGUUGGUUUCUCGGAUUUGGGUAGAAGUACGAGGUGGUUGAGGAUGAGGAAGUAAUUACGUCUGCAGCGGAUGGAAUGGACUACACUGACCAAAAUAAGUGCGAGCAAGCAUUGAGACAAACCUUUCCACUAGCCAUUGCGUGGGUCAAAGUUCACCAAAAGUUUUGUCUUUUCUUUGCAUCAAAAGAAACUUAAUUUAUUUGAAAUAUAAAUAGCGAAUGAAAU